rnacentral:rRNA from 1 species
UACGUAGGGUGCGAGCGUUAAUCGGAAUUACUGGGCGUAAAGCGUGCGCAGGCGGUUUGCUAAGACAGGUGUGAAAUCCCCGGGCUUAACCUGGGAACUGCGCUUGUGACUGGCAGGCUAGAGUACGGCAGAGGGGGGUGGAAUUCCUGGUGUAGCAGUGAAAUGCGUAGAUAUCAGGAGGAACACCGAUGGCGAAGGCAGCCCCCUGGGCCUGUACUGACGCUCAUGCACGAAAGCGUGGGGAGCAAACAGGAUUAGAUACCCCGGUA